CCUACGGGUGACAGCAGUGGGGAAUAUUGGACAAUGGAGGGAACCCUGAUCCAGCGACGCCGCGUGAGUGAAGAAGUAUUUCGGUAUGUAAAGCUCUAUCAGCAGGGAAGAAAGAAACGACGGUACCUGACUAAGAAGCCUCGGCUAACUACGUGCCAGCAGCCGCGGUAAUACGUAGGGUGCAAGCGUUAUCCGGAUUUACUGGGUGUAAAGGGGGCGUAGGCGGUUACGUAAGUCUGGAGUGAAAGGCGGGGGCACAACCCCCGGACUGCCUCGGAAACUGUAUGACUGGAGUGCAGGAGAGGUAGGUGGAAUGUAUGGUGUAGCGGUGAAAUGCAUAGAGAUUAUACAGAACACCGAUUGCGAAGGCAGCUUACUGGACUGCGACUGACGUUGAGGCACGAAAGCGUGGGGAGCAAACAGGAUUAGAUACCCUAGUAGUC
rnacentral:rRNA from 1 species